rnacentral:tRNA from 1 species
ACUCGGGCAGCAUAUUAAUAAACAUCAGGGUUAGCGCGUGAGACUUUUAAUCUCAAGGCUCAGGGUUCGAGUCCCUGGUCGGGCG